rnacentral:rRNA from 1 species
AUAUUAAAGAUUUUUAUCUUUCUUAUUGGUUCUAAGAUAAGAAUAAUGAUUAAUAGGGACAGUUGGGGGCAUUUGUAUUUAACAGUCAGAGGUGAAAUUUUAGAUUUGUUAAAGACAAACUAAUGCGAAAGCAUUUGCCUAGGUUUUUCAUUAAUCAAGAACGAAAGUUAGGGGAUCGAAGACGAU